ACAUGCAAGUCGAACGCGAAAGUCCCCUUCGGGGGGCGAGUAGAGUGGCGCACGGGUGAGUAACACGUAGGUAAUCUACCUUUGGAUGGGGAAUAACAACCGGAAACGGUUGCUAAUACCGCAUAAUGCAGCGGCACCUAUGGUGACAGUUGUUAAAGCGGGGGAUCGAAAGACCUCGCGUCUAAAGAGGAGCCUGCGGCGGAUUAGCUAGUUGGUAAGGUAACGGCUUACCAAGGCUACGAUCCGUAGCCGGCCUGAGAGGGCGGUCGGCCACACUGACACUGACAUACGGGUCAGACUCCCACGGGAGGCAGCAGUCGGGAAUUUUGGGCAAUGGGCGAAAGCCUGACCCAGCAACGCCGCGUGAAGGAUGAAACCCCUCGGGAUGUAAACUUCGCAAGAACGGGAAGAAUAAGUAGAGGACAAUACCCCCUAUGAUGACGGUACCGUUUGUAAGCUCCGGCUAACUCCGUGCCAGCAGCCGCGGUAAUACGGGGGGAGCAAGCGUUGUUCGGACUUACUGGGCGUAAAGGGCGCGUAGGCGGCCAGCACAAGUCAGUUGUGAAAUCUCCGAGCUUAACUCGGAAAGGUCAACUGAUACUGUGCGGCUAGAGUGCAGAAGGGGCAACUGGAAUUCUUGGUGUAGCGGUGAAAUGCGUAGAUAUCAAGAGGAACACCUGCGGCGAAGGCGGGUUGC
rnacentral:rRNA from 1 species